rnacentral:tRNA from 1 species
GCCAGUGUGGCAUAGUGGUUUGAGCGUUGGACUACAACUUUGGAGACCAGGGUUCCAUUCCUGGCUCAGCCA